GACGAACGCUGGCGGCGUGCUUAACACAUGCAAGUCGAACGGAAAGGCCCUGCUUUUGUGGGGUGCUCGAGUGGCGAACGGGUGAGUAACACGUGAGUAACCUGCCCUUGACUUUGGGAUAACUUCAGGCAACUGGGGCUAAUACCGGAUAGGAGCUCCUGCUUCAUGGUGGGGGUUGGACAGUUUCGGCGGUUGGGGAUGGACUCGCGGCUUUUCAGCUUGUUGGUGGGGUAGUGGCUUACCAAGGCUUUGACGGGUAGCCGGGCUGAGAGGGUGACCGGCCCAGCUUGGGUGGGAGUGAGGCCCCGCACACCCUCCGACGGGAGGGAGGGGUAGGGUUGCUCACGGGACGGACGCAUGCUGCACCAAGCCCUGGCGCGGGAUGGCGGCCGUUGUUUGGAUAACCACUUUCUCUUGCCAGGAACGGUAAUUACGGUUACUGGGUAAGAAGGCCCGGCUAACUUCGUG
rnacentral:rRNA from 1 species